CCUACGGGAGGCAGCAGUGAGGAAUAUUGGUCAAUGGACGAGAGUCUGAACCAGCCAAGUAGCGUGAAGGAUGACUGCCCUAUGGGUUGUAAACUUCUUUUAUAUGGGAAUAAAAUGUUUCACGUGUGGGAUUUUGUAUGUACCAUAUGAAUAAGGAUCGGCUAACUCCGUGCCAGCAGCCGCGGUAAUACGGAGGAUCCGAGCGUUAUCCGGAUUUAUUUGGUUUAAAGGGAGCGUAGGUGGAUUGUUAAGUCAGUUGUGAAAGUUUGCGGCUCAACCGUAAAAUUGCAGUUGAAACUGGCAGUCUUGAGUACAGUAGAGGUGGGCGGAAUUCGUGGUGUAGCGGUGAAAUGCUUAGAUAUCACGAAGAACUCCGAUUGCGAAGGCAGCUCACUGGACUGCAACUGACACUGAGGCUCGAAAGUGUGGGUAUCAAACAGGAUUAGAUACCCUAGUAGUC
rnacentral:rRNA from 1 species